rnacentral:rRNA from 1 species
UGGGGAAUAUUGCACAAUGGUCGGAAGUCUGAUGCAGCAACGCCGCGUGCGGGAUGACGGCCUUCGGGUUGUAAACCGCUUUUUCUCAUGACGAUGUUUUUUGACGGUAGUGGGUGAAGAAGCACCGGCUAACUACGUGCCAGCAGCCGCGGUGAUACGUAGGGUGCGAGCGUUGUACGGAAUUAUUGGGCGUAAAGAUCUUGUAGGCGGUUUGUGGCGUCAAUAGUGCAAAGUACGUGCUUAACGCUGGGCCUGCUGUUGGUACGGGCAGACUAGAGGAAGGUAGGGGAGAAUGGAAGUCCCGGUGGAGCGGUGGAAGGCGUAGAUAUCGGGAGGAACACCGGUGGCGAAGGCGGUUCUCUGGGCCAUUCCUGACGCUGAGAAGCGAAAGCGUGGGGAGCGAACAGG